GCCCGCGUGGUGGAACGGUAGACACCGGCGACUUAAAAUCGCUUGUCCGUGAGGGCGUGCAGGUUCGACUCCUGUCGCGGGCACCA
rnacentral:tRNA from 1 species